UUGCCAUGACGAGAUCUUAUGAAUUUGAGAGCAAAUUAAUUGCUCGAAGAGAUGGGAAAAUAAUUAUUCCUAUGCGGUUAGCUGAGCAA